CGACUCUGUAGCCCGGGGGAUCGGCCCCGGGGUAUCCACGGCCCGGCCGCAACCGGGCGAGUUGCGGGUAU
rnacentral:ncRNA from 1 species